rnacentral:rRNA from 1 species
UACGUAGGGUGCAGGCGUUAAUCGGAAUUACUGGGCGUAAAGCGCGCGCAGGCGGCUCAUCAAGUCAGAGGUGAAAGCCCAGGGCUCAACCCUGGAAUUGCCUUUGAAACUGGUGAGCUUGAGUACGGGAGAGGUGAGUGGAAUUCCGAGUGUAGAGGUGAAAUUCGUAGAUAGUCGGAAGAACACCAGUGGCGAAGGCGGCUCACUGGCCCGUAUCUGACGCUCAGGCGCGACAGCGUGGGGAGCAAACAGG